rnacentral:rRNA from 1 species
AUUGAACGCUGGCGGCAGGCCUAACACAUGCAAGUCGAGCGGAUGAAGGGAGCUUGCUCCUGGAUUCAGCGGCGGACGGGUGAGUAAUGCCUAGGAAUCUGCCUGGUAGUGGGGGAUAACGUCCGGAAACGGGCGCUAAUACCGCAUACGUCCUGAGGGAGAAAGUGGGGGAUCUUCGGACCUCACGCUAUCAGAUGAGCCUAGGUCGGAUUAGCUAGUUGGUGGGGUAAAGGCCUACCAAGGCGACGAUCCGUAACUGGUCUGAGAGGAUGAUCAGUCACACUGGAACUGAGACACGGUCCAGACUCCUACGGGAGGCAGCAGUGGGGAAUAUUGGACGAUGGGCGAAAGCCUGAUACAGCCAUGCCGCGUGUGUGAAGAAGGUCUUCGGAUUGUAAAGCACUUUAAGUUGGGAGGAAGAGCAGUAAGUUAAUACCUUGCUGUUUUGACGUUACCAACAGAAUAAGCACCGGCUAACUUCGUG